CUCAUGCAAGAGUCUGCCCCUCGCUGGGUGUUGAAUUAGAAGCCUGUCCCGCAGGCCACAGCUAUGAAGCUGCAGGUCAUCUGAGGCGGGAGAAUGUGUGAGAACCGAGAUUUCAGAGACUGAAGGUGCGUGGCAUAAAUGAAUCAUGACUGAAAACACUGCCUGGCGUCUUCACAGGGCCGCAUGUGUGUGACAAGAGAGGCGAGGAAGCGACACCCAUCAUGAGCCCUUCCAUUAAACUUGGGGAACAUGGAGACCCAAAGCAAGUGACUGUGAAGCUCUGGCCACCGCUUCUACCG